rnacentral:rRNA from 1 species
UACGUAGGGGGCGAGCGUUGUCCGGAUUUAUUGGGCGUAAAGAGCUCGUAGGCGGUUUGGCAAGUCGGGUGUGAAAACUCCGGGCUCAACCCGGAGACGCCACUCGAUACUGCUAUGACUUGAGUCCGGUAGGGGAGUGCGGAAUUCCUGGUGUAGCGGUGAAAUGCGCAGAUAUCAGGAGGAACACCGGUGGCGAAGGCGGCACUCUGGGCCGGUACUGACACUGAGGAGCGAAAGCGUGGGGAGCGAACAGG